GAUGAAGAACGCAGCGAAAUGCGAUAAGUAGUGUGAAUUGCAGAAUUCAGUGAAUCAUCGAAUCUUUGAACGCACAUUGCGCCCCUCGGUAUUCCGUGGGGCAUGCUUAUUUGAGCGUCAUUUAACCCCUCAAGCCUCGCUUGGUGUUGGGCGUCUGUCUUGCCGUUGUGCAUCGACUCGCCUUGAAACGAUUGGCAGCUGGUAUGCAGGCUUCGAGCGCAGCAGAUUUGCGUCUUGGGCCUGUGCACUGGUGUUCCAGCAAGCCUCAUCUAUCUUCUUGACCUCAGAUUAAGUAGGGAUACCCGUUGAACUUAAGCAUAUCAAUAAGCGGAGGA
rnacentral:misc_RNA from 1 species